rnacentral:lncRNA from 1 species
GUACAGAAAAAUGUUAAAGAUUUCUGGCCAGAUGUUAAGAUUAAGUAUAUUGCUGUUGGGAAUGAAAUCAGCCCUGUCACUGGCACAUCUUACCUAACCUCAUUUCUUACUCCUGCUAUGGUAAAUAUUUACAAAGCAAUUGGUGAAGCUGGUUUGGGAAACAACAUCAAGGUCUCAACUUCUGUAGACAUGACCUUGAUUGGAAACUCUUAUCCACCAUCACAGGGUUCGUUUAGGAACGAUGCUAGGUGGUUUGUUGAUCCCAUUGUUGGCUUCUUAAGGGACACACGUGCACCUUUACUCGUUAACAUUUACCCCUAUUUCAGUUAUUCUGGUAAUCCAGGCCAGAUUUCUCUCCCCUAUUCUCUUUUUACAGCACCAAAUGUGGUGGUACAAGAUGGUUCCCGCCAAUAUAGGAACUUAUUUGAUGCAAUGCUGGAUUCUGUGUAUGCUGCCCUCGAGCGAUCAGGAGGGGCAUCUGUAGGGAUUGUUGUGUCCGAGAGUGGCUGGCCAUCUGCUGGUGCAUUUGGAGCCACAUAUGACAAUGCAGCAACUUACUUGAGGAACUUAAUUCAACACGCUAAAGAGGGUAGCCCAAGAAAGCCUGGACCUAUUGAGACCUAUAUAUUUGCCAUGUUUGAUGAGAACAACAAGAACCCUGAACUGGAGAAACAUUUUGGAUUGUUUUCCCCCAACAAGCAGCCCAAAUAUAAUAUCAACUUUGGGGUCUCUGGUGGAGUUUGGGACAGUUCAGUUGAAACUAAUGCUACUGCUUCUCUCGUAAGUGAGAUGUGAGCUGAUGAGACACUUGAAAUCUCUUUACAUACGUAUUCCUUGGAUGGAAAACCUAGUAAAAACAAGAGAAAUUUUUUCUUUAUGCAAGAUACUAAAUAACAUUGCAUGUCUCUGUAAGUCCUCAUGGAUUGUUAUCCAGUGACGAUGCAACUCUGAGUGGUUUUAAAUUCCUUUUCUUUGUGAUAUUGGUAAUUUGGCAAGAAACUUUCUGUAAGUUUGUGAAUUUCAUGCAUCAUUAAUUAUACAUCAGUUCCAUGUUUGAUCAGAUUGGGAUUUGGUAACUUCAAUGUUUAGUUAUUUAUUAAUUAGUGUCUUUAUCAUUUGACUAUCAAUUAAUCUUUAUUUGGCAAGGCUUGAUAUAUUUGAG